CAAUAGCGUAUAUUAAAAUUGUUGCAGUUAAAACGUUCGUAGUUGUAUUUCUGUUAUCUGUCAGAAUGGUCCGCUUGAGCGUGCACCGUUCGUCGAUGACAUCCGUUUGCACAAUUCAUUGCGCAAACCGUUCACUUUGAGGAAAUUAGAGUGUUCAAAGCAGGCUCAGCCUUGAAUACUUCAGCAUGGAAUGAUUGAUAGGACUUCCGUUCUAUCCGUUGGUUCUAGGGGCGUGAAGUAAUGAUAAAUAGGGUCGGUCGGGGACAUUCCUACUGAGCAGUCAGGGGUGAAAUCCUGUAAUUUGUUCAUGAGGAGCUACUGCGAAAGCAUUUGUCAAGGACGACCCCAUUAA
rnacentral:rRNA from 1 species